GCACGUAGUUAGCCGGUGCUUCUUCUUCGGGUACCGUCAUUAGUCCGUGGUGUUAGCACGAACCGUUUCGUCCCCGCCGAAAGAGCUUUACAACCCGAAGGCCUUCUUCACUCACGCGGCAUGGCUGGAUCAGGCUUGCGCCCAUUGUCCAAAAUUCCCCACUGCUGCCUCCCGUAGGAGUCUGGACCGUGUGUCAGUUCCAGUGUGGCUGAUCGUCCUCUCAGACCAGCUACGGAUCGUAGCCUUGGUGGGCUGUUACCCCGCCAACUAGCUAAUCCGGUAUCGGCCGCUCCUAUAGUGCGAAGCCUUGCGGUCCUCCGCUUUCACCCGUAGGUCGUAUGCGGUAUUAGCCUCUCUUUCGAGAGGUUAUCCCCCGCUACAGGGUACGUUCCGAUAUAUUACUCACCCGUUCGCCACUCGCCACCAGGGGUUGCCCCCCGUGCUGCCGUUCGACUUGCAUGUGUAAGGCAUGCCGCCAGCGUUCAAU
rnacentral:rRNA from 1 species